UAGGGAAUCUUCCACAAUGGGCGAAAGCCUGAUGGAGCAACGCCGCGUGUGUGAUGAAGGGUUUCGGCUCGUAAAACACUGUUGUAAGAGAAGAAUGACAUUGAGAGUAACUGUUCAAUGUGUGACGGUAUCUUACCAGAAAGGAACGGCUAAAUACGUACCAGA
rnacentral:rRNA from 1 species